CCUACGGGAGGCUGCAGUGCGGAAUAUUGGUCAAUGGACGAGAGUCUGAACCAGCCAAGUCGCGUGCAGGAUGACUGCCCUAUGGGUUGUAAACUUCUUUUAUAUGGGAAUACACUGUUCCACGUGUGGGCUUUUGUAUGUACCCUAUGAAUAAGGAUCGGCUAACUCCGUGCCAGCAGCCGCGGUAAUAAGGAGGAUCCGAGCGUUAUCCGGAUUUAUUGGGUUUAAAGGGCGCGUAGGUGGAUUGUUAAGUCAGUUGUGAAAGUUUGUGGCUCAACCGUAAAAUUGCAGUUGAAACUGGCAGUCUUGAGUACAGUAGAGGUGGGCGGAAUUCGUGGUGUAGCGGUGAAAUGCUUAGAUAUCACGAAGAACUCCGAUUGCGAAGGCAGCUCACUGGACUGCAACUGACACUGAGGCUCGAAAGUGUGGGUAUCAAACAGGAUUAGAUACCCCAGUAGUC
rnacentral:rRNA from 1 species